CGCUGGCGGCGUGCCUAAUACAUGCAAGUCGAACGCACUCUCGUUUAGAUUGAAGGAGCUUGCUCCUGAUUGAUAAACAUUUGAGUGAGUGGCGGACGGGUGAGUAACACGUGGGUAACCUGCCCUAAAGUGGGGGAUAACAUUUGGAAACAGAUGCUAAUACCGCAUAAAACCUAACACCGCAUGGUGUAGGGUUGAAAGAUGGUUUCGGCUAUCACUUUAGGAUGGACCCGCGGUGCAUUAGUUAGUUGGUGAGGUAAAGGCUCACCAAGACCGUGAUGCAUAGCCGACCUGAGAGGGUAAUCGGCCACACUGGGACUGAGACACGGCCCAGACUCCUACGGGAGGCAGCAGUAGGGAAUCUUCCACAAUGGACGAAAGUCUGAUGGAGCAACGCCGCGUGAGUGAAGAAGGUUUUCGGAUCGUAAACUCUGUUGUUGGAGAAGAAUGUAUCUGAUAGUAACUGAUCAGGUAGUGACGGUAUCCAACCAGAAAGCCACGGCUAACUACGUG
rnacentral:rRNA from 1 species